UGGGGGGAUGGUGUAGAUUAGUGCCAUCCUUAAGGAUCCAAAGACUCAGGAGUGACAAUCUUCAUCAUAGCUUUAACAAAUGGAUCCUGGAGGAUGACUACAGACCACCACAAGCUCAACCACGUAGUACCUCGGACUGUACCAGCUGCGCCAGGUGCUACGGCAUAGAGCUGAUUAAUAUGAGCCCAGGUACAAAGUGUAUAGGAACUGAUGUGCUGAAUGUAUUCUUUUCCAUCCCAAUCGGAAUGAAGAUAAGAAAUGGUUCGCAUUCUAUGUUCAUUCACACAGAAAAGACAACAUUUACAGUUUUGCUGCCAGGCUGUAUUAACUCUCCCACUCACUGUCACAACAGUCCAAGGAACUCUCGACCUUCUGGACAUACUGCAGAACAUUGUAAUGUUCCACUACAUCUAUGACAUCAUGUUUAUCAUCUAAAAGCCCUGGCAAAGCAUGCGUGCUCUGGAGGGGGAGAGAUAAACCCCACCAAGACUCCAGGGUCUACCACAGCCACACCAUUUUUAAGAGCCAAUGAUCUCAAUACCAAGAUAUCAGUCCAAAGUAAAAGACAAAUGAUUGCAUUGUCCACCUCCUUCAAUGAAGAAGAAAGCACAAUACCAGGCGGGCCUCUCUGGGCUCAGGGGGCAGUAUACCCCCACCCAGGGAUAUUGCUCCAGCCCACUCACAGAGUGGCACAAAAAGCAGCCAGCUUUGAGCGUGGCUCCAGCGACAAAGGCUUUGGCAGUUCCAAGCUGUAGUGAGAGCAGCCCUGAUGCAGGGGCCACAAUACUCAGCAAAUCCUACAUUGUUGGCAGGAAAGGAUGCUGAGGGGAGUCUGCGGCCAUACUGGGAGAAUCAUAAUGCUGGAAAAAGGACUCUUUCACAAAAGAAAAGCAUAUUUUAUACCCUGAAGGAACACACAGAAUGCUUUGAAGGUGACCUCCAGAUUUAAUGUUUCCAAAAGAGAAACCUAAACGUAUCUAAAGCAGAGGGGGAAAAAAUGCCACUAGAAGCAGAGUAGCAGUAGCUCAGUGCUAAUCAGUUGGAACUCACAGAAUCCAAGUUUCUGCCUUCCCCACAAGCUACUGGGCACAGGAGAAGAAAACCACUAGACUGAAGAUGUUUCCAGCACUCUACAUUAAAAAUCACCAACCUGAAAUGGGUCCUCAGUAAUAUCUACCAACACAGUGUCUGCCUUUUUUUCCUACCCUUAUCUCCUCUUCAGGCCCUUUCUCACUGAACAAACUCUAGCUAAUCUCAUCUAUCCUUGGCAUUUAGUAUUUCCAGCUGGGAUCUCGUUUCUGGGCUUUACACCUGUGUAACCAAUAAACUGCCGCACAACUUCACCUGGUUGUCUCACAGAUUCUUAUAUUCCACAUGCCCAAACUGUACUCACCUUGCAUCUUUCUUAGUGCUCCCCACCCCCAGUGGGGGCCACCAGAUCUUAGGUGCUGACUGCUCUUCCCUCACCAUCAGUUAUCCUACUGACUCGAUCUCACACACACCUCUCAGUUACUUCUACCG